GAAAUCGUAGAUUAAUCGGUAGAGCAACUGCUUUGCAAGUAGAAGACUGGCGGUUUAAAAUCCUCUCAAUUGCA
rnacentral:tRNA from 1 species